CUACGCCCCUCCCGCCUUUAGCUGGGGAAAGGCGAGGAGGGGGAGGGGCGAGAAGUCACCCGCCCUCUGGGCUCGGCGUGAUGGUGCACGUCACGCGAAAGGGCUGCUGGGAAGAUUACUCCGCUGCCCUUCCCCCGCUCCGGAGAGCGGGGAAACCUUGGAGAAGUGGCGGGAGGGGGAGCCCCACGUGGUGUGCAGAGUGGGUCUGAAAGAACGGCCUUCCCAGGCUCACCUGCCCCAUUGCUGCCGGGAGUAGGAGCGGAGAGAUGGGUCUCUCCCCUAGGUGCUUCAGUGCCCCCCAUUAAAACCACCCGAUUGGAAAGAACCUCACGUACCAGCUAAUAAAUCAACGAGCAAUUAUUAGCCGCCUGCUGUGUGCUGGGAGAUGGCCAACUAAUUGCUGAACAAGAAGUCAUACACCCCCCCCCCGGGGGUCUUACUCCUAGAAGUGAGGAGAAGGGCCUUCCUUGACUCAAAGAAUGUGAACAAUCACUCUCAAAAGAAAACUAAAAUAAUAAAGUCGCAAAUAAGCACGAACAGAUGUUCCCAAAAUCACUCGUGAUAAAUGGGUCACCGUUACACCCAGCCGACCUUUAAACGUGGACAUCGGAUGGAAAUAGUUACCGUGGGGGCUACUACCGCGGGAAAAUAGGCACAUCUUUACCUAAUGGGUGCAGCCGCAGACGUCCGGCCACUGCAAAAGGGCUGGGGAUCUGGCGCUAGCUUAAGUGGCCGCAGAACCUGGGACUGAGCCCGAGGGCUCCAAGACAAAAGGUCUCCCGGCCAGUAAAAAGGUUUGUGUCAGCAUUCUGAUCUACAGAAAACACAAUUAGAAACAAAGUAGGUGUCUGCUGAAUACAUACAAUGGAAAAUUGCUUUGCCAGAAGCAAUGGAAAGGAAGAAUACAGAGAAACAUUGGAAGCUUUUAAAUAACCCGAUGGAAAAAGAAGGAAGCGGAAGCUAGAAAAUACCUUGCAGAAAGUUAAAGAACUAGAUGGUCUACAGGAUGGAAAGUCAGGGAAAAAACAAAUGCAGACCUGUCUUAGACCUUAGCUGUGUCACCUUAAUCUCUCUCAGUUUCAACUCUCUCUCCUAACUAUCAUUAAUGAAGAUGUUAAAUUAGACCAGAAUGAAAACUGAUCCCUGUGGCACCCUGCUAGACACCGCCAAACAAUGGGACGCAUUGCCAUUUGCUGUAUCAUUACCCUUUGUUUCUCUUGUGUGUUUAAUUCCUUACUUUGGUAAAGAGUCAAAAAUUGCUUGACAUCUCCACCACUUCAGAGAUGCUGCUGUAGAGAAGAGCCAUUAAAAAACCUGCCAGACUCUAAACAAAUCCUUUUGUAUUUUUGAAUUAAAUGUGGAUUAUGAAUAGAGAAUUGUUGGGAAUCGUUCUAUUGCUUAUUACUUUAGCUGCCUUUGUUUUCUAUUGACUUUUCUGCAGCUGUUCUGCCUUUGCUGGAACAGAUGAAGCUAGAUAUUUGCUGUAUUAGGGGAUGUUGCUUGCAUCAGCUUAACUAGGAAUAGCAAAAGAACUCUGAUCUUACAUAUGAAAGCAUAUACUUGGAGUAUUAUGGAUUAGAAAGUCAUUGAUUCCAAGAGGAAUUUUAUCCAAUCAGUGCGUAAUAGAAAUAUUAUCUUCUAUAUAAGAGUUGAAAUAAAGAUCUCUUGGAUAUGGUAGAAAGAAUUGUAAAAGAAGCUAUAGAAUAAGAAUUUUUAACCUGGGGUUCUUGAACUUGUUUUUAAUAAAUAUUUUUAUAACUGUA